rnacentral:rRNA from 1 species
UGGGGAAUAUUGCGCAAUGGGGGAAACCCUGACGCAGCAACGCCGCGUGAGUGAUGAAGGUCUUCGGAUUGUAGAACUCUGUCUUCAGGGACGAUAAUGACGGUACCUGAGGAGGAAGCCACGGCUAACUACGUGCCAGCAGCCGCGGUAAUACGUAGGUGGCAAGCGUUGUCCGGCUUUACUGGGCGUAAAGAGUAUGUAGGCGGAUAUUUAAGUCAGAUGUGAAAUUCCCGGGCUUAACCUGGGAGCUGCAUUUGAUACUGGAUAUCUAGAGUGCAGGAGAGGAAAGUGGAAUUCCUAGUGUAGCGGGGAAAUGCGUAGAGAUUAGGAAGAACACCAGUGGCGAAGGCGACUUUCUGGACUGUAACUGACGCUGAGAUACGAAAGCGUGGGGAGCAAACA